rnacentral:tRNA from 1 species
GCCUUCGUGGUGUAAUGGUCAGCACACUCGGCGCGUAUUCGAGAGGUCCGAGGUUCGAGUCCUGGUGAGGGCA